CCAGACUCCUACGGGAGGCAGCAGUGGGGAAUAUUGCACAAUGGGGGAAACCCUGAUGCAGCGACGCCGCGUGAGUGAAGAAGUAAUUCGUUAUGUAAAGCUCUAUCAGCAGGGAAGAAAAUGACGGUACCUGAGUAAGAAGCCCCGGCUAACUACGUGCCAGCAGCCGCGGUAAUACGUAGGGGGCAAGCGUUAUCCGGAUUUACUGGGUGUAAAGGGAGCGUAGGCGGGAGAGCAAGUCGACUGUGAAAUCUAUGGGCUUAACCCAUAGCUGCGAUCGAAACUGUUCAUCUUGAGUGAAGUAGAGGCAGGCGGAAUUCCUAGUGUAGCGGUGAAAUGCGUAGAUAUCAGGAGGAACACCGGUGGCGAAGGCGGCCUGCUGGACUGCAACUGACGUUGAGGCCCGAAAGCGUGGGGAGCAAACAGGAUUAGAUACCCUCGUAACA
rnacentral:rRNA from 1 species